CAACAAAUGAUCUGAGAUAUCAAGAGAAUAUGGGGAAGAGGGAGGAAAGAGAGACGAUCGACAUAAGAAAAUGAAGGAAGCAGAAGCAGAGAUGAAUAUCAUCAGCGUGUUGCCUGCAGAGUGUAUCUCCCACAUCGUUUCCUGCACAACCCCUCUGGACGCGUGCAGAUCAUCGCUGGUCUCUCAUCUCUUUCGAAUUGCUGCGGAUUCUGAUAUUGUGUGGGAGAGAUUUCUGCCCCAGGAUUAUAAGGAGAUCAUUUCCAGUUCUUUGAACUCCUUGUCCAAGAAGGAUCUCUACUUUCAUCUUUGCAAUCACCCUAUCAUCAUAGGAAAUGGUAACAUGAGCAUGGCACUAGAAAAGCAGAGUGGCAAAAAAUGCUAUAUGGUAGGGGCAAGAGAGCUUACAGUUAUAUGGGGAGAUACACCCCCAUAUUGGCAAUGGAUAUCUCUACCAGAGUCUAGGUUUGCCCAAGUGGCUGAGCUCAAUUAUGUGUGGUGGCUUGAGAUCAAGGGGUACAUAGAGACUAAAAAUUUGUCCCCACGAACAGCCUAUGCAGCUUAUUUUGUCUAUCAGCUCUCAUCAGAACACAAUCCACGGACUGCAACAACUCCUUUUAGGUUCCGUGUUGCUUAUGAACAAGGCACAGCAGAUGAGCGUAGUGUGAUCCUAGAUCCUAUAACUCAUGAAGGUAUAGCUCCUCCGCAAGCUCGAUACAGAGGCAAUGGGUGGAUUGAGAUUGAGAUGGGUGAGUUCAUCACUGAAGAAGAUAAUGCUACUGUGCUAUUUAGUCUAAUGGAAAUUAGUAGUUUCUGUAAGAGCGGCCUCAUUGUAGAAGGCAUUGAGCUUAGGCCCAAGCAAUGAAGGAUUGAUUCCAUGAACAAGUCACAGGAGGGGAAGAAAGCUUUAUAAACGAGUGGGAGUAACGUUGCCUUGCCAUUUAUCAUCCUCUAUGUUCUAGGUAACUAGUGUUGUCUUUGUUUCGGCGGCAACGACAGUAGUGACGUUGGAUUGUGUCUCUCCUUGGGAGAGUUGUGAUACCUAGUGGCUGAUGUUUUGUCUCUGUUUUAACGGCGGCGGCUGCAGCGAUGCUGGUGGUAGUUGUUGGGAUGUGGUGCUCGUCUUUACUCUGCGCCGACUGAAGAACUAUGAUUGGUCAUAGGAGGUUUUCUUUGUCAGGUUUUGAGUUGAAGUGGAGUGCUUCUCAUGGGUCUUUUUACUGUUGUUUCUAUGUUCGUCCUCCGUGUUCUCUCCUGGUUUCUGCUAUAGUAUGACUUACAGUUUAUAUGGGUGUCAAAGGACUAUGAUUUUGCUCCUAUAAGGCUUCUUUUGACAAUUGGGAUGUUCUGCAGUCCUCUCCUGUGGGUUUACUAUUUGGGGUUUCUACAGUCCUCUCAUGUGGGUCUAUUGUGUUGGUCUCUAAUUGCGGUUCUCGUCGGAGGUAUUUGUGUUAGGUUUUGUUUUUGACUUGUUCUUUUAUUGUAAUGGUCCAAAGUGACCUGAAUUGGACUCUCAUGUUAGUCCAUGACAUGUGUGGUACUCUUUCCUCCCUUGGGAUUUGUCACUUGAGGAUGUCCUAAGAAGGUUUUAACGAGGCCACUGUAUCAUGUCGCUCUUUGUACGUCUGUGGUUUUAUGAAUGAAUUUCUCCUUCUCAAAAAAAUA